ACCAAAAUUUUCCCUUCUCUCUCGGCUCAUCCCAUUGACAACAUUACUCCAUAAACCGUAAGUAAAGAGAUACAAGGAUCAAAACAUGUCCCAAACCCCAACUGAGUCUAUCUCCCUCACACCGCCGAUUGAGCUCCACACUGCCCAGUUGCAUGUCCAUUUCAUUCUCUCCACCAAUGACACACUGACCGUGAGUUCAUUGAGAAAGGGCAGGCUCCCAAGUCUCUUUAACUCUCUUCCCUGCUUGUCCGUGUUGCAGCAACGGUGGAAGUAUUACGUUUUCUAACUCGGAGUUCACCUUCACCCCUCACGAUUUGAUGGAGACCUCUCUUGGUUCAAGUCAGAAAGCACCGCCUACCUCCCUUUGCUGCACAAAACCGUGAGUAUUCCUAAGUGAAGAGUUCAAUGUUCAAGUCACCCUUCCCUCUUCGAUUUAAGGGAGAUUUGCCACUGCAUGCUGAUUUCAACUUGAGUCAGUCUCUAUUCUUUUCCUCUUGUUCGACCAAAGGUCCCCCUUAAGGAGGUGAGGUAAUUGCUCCUUCCUUGUCCAACGCACCUUAGGGUCCUUCUGAUUGAGUUCUCCUUUCAUUUCAUGCAUAUGUUCUGAUUUUAAUCUAGCUUUCUCCCCUUUCUAUCUUGUCCCAAGCGCUAGUCAUGGAGCAUAGGAAGAGGAUGGGCUGCUCCUCGGUCAAUUGUGGUCUUGGGUGUCGAUGCAAGUAAAUGUCCGCGAACUUCUAAGAAAGUGGACUGAAUUGGUGAUACGUUGUUUAAAAAGUUGUAAACGUCACAGGAGGACGGAAGAGCAUUGGAAGACAUGAUUAUAUGGAUAUUUGUUGUUAUGUGCUGCUGUAUGGACUAUUACUAUUGCUGUUAUUUGAUGAAUGACUGUAUUAAAUUGAGUAGUGUGGAUUACUGUUGAAUUAUGAUUUUAUUAUUGUUUUUAAGACUUUUGUG